rnacentral:rRNA from 1 species
CACGUAGGGGGCGAGCGUUGUCCGGAAUCAUUGGGCGUAAAGCGCGUGUAGGCGGUCCGGUAAGUCCGCUGUGAAAGUCGGGGGCUCAACCCUCGAAUGCCGGUGGAUACUGUCGGGCUAGAGUGCGGAAGAGGCGAGUGGAAUUCCUGGUGUAGCGGUGAAAUGCGCAGAUAUCAGGAGGAACACCAAUUGCGAAGGCAGCUCGCUGGGACGUUACUGACGCUGAGACGCGAAAGCGUGGGGAGCAAACAGG